rnacentral:rRNA from 1 species
CCCUUAGAUGUUCUGGGCAGCACGCGCGCUACAAUGGUCUUCGCAAACGGAUGCAUUCUCGAAGGAGAAUGCCAAUCUUGGAAUCUAUGCCUUGGUCGGGACAGUUGCUUGCAAUUUUUCGACUCGAACCAGGAAUUCCUUGUAAUCGUGAUUCAUCACAUCACGAUGAAUACGUGCCUGCCCUUUGUACACACCGCCCGUCGCUCCUACCGAUCGAAGAGUUAGGUGAAUUGUUUUGAUCGAUAAGAUUUGACUAUGGUCAACUCUCGUUGUGAAAUUCUGUGAAUCUGACUGUUUAGAGGAAGGAAAAGUCGUAACA